GAGUUUCCUGAGGAUCGUCUGUGUGACCAGGAGUUUUGAGCUAGCCUAUUGGAGCCUGUUGAGAUCAGCAGUGGGCACACUUCUGAAAACAAAGGCUCCCUCUCCCAGAAUCUACCAGUGGCCGACAGUUCAGCAGGAAACAUGCUGAGAGUGUCCCACUGGGUACUGGAAUGGGAAAGCCAUUGUUCCAACAGAUUGUUGCCACCUAGUAACUAGAGCCUGAUAUUGUCAUCAGUGAAGAGCCCUGGCAUCAUUGUUGCCUCUUAGUAACUAGAGCCUGAUAUUGUCAUCAGUGAAGAGCCCUGGCAUCAUUGUUUGUGGAUCUUGCAGUUAUUACUCCUGAGUCCAUUACCUAUUCAUGCUUUGAAAGGGAUUGGUUAGCGAAUAAUGCUACACCUCAUAAGAAGCUUUAAAGGGCUCAAACUAAGAAGAGCUUUGAUGACUAUUGCUGAAGAAAUCAUCUGCAGUGAUUUACUGAUGCUGGGAACCUUGGGAAAAGGAGAUAGAUUUAAGCUGUGUGAAUUUGAACUCACCCUCAGACAGGAACUCUCUCUGUGUUCUGUGCUCCUUUUAGCAGACAGGUUUCUACCCAAGAUCUGGCCACUAGCAAGCCAGAGAGAUGGCUCAGCCGGUAAAGGGGCUUGCUGCUAAGUCGGAAAUCUGCUCAGUUGAGCCUGGGAAGAGGUGCUGGUUUGGAAGGUCAUGGCAGCAGGGUGGCUUCUGGGGCUCUGAUUAUGAUAAUUUUCAUUUGAUAAUUGGCAACGUGAGUUUGGCUCGCUUUGUGGCAUUUUACUCAGGUAUAAGUGCAAAUGUUUCCUUAGAGGAGAGACUACCUCUUGCAACAUAAGCCUCUGUCUUACGCGUGUUCUGGGGCUGAGUGGACUGUGUCAGGACACUAGUCUCAGUGCUCUGAGAGUCAUGCCCGGCUCCUUGAGCACCAGGUUGUAGCUCUUAGCUACUUUUCCAAUGCCACUUGUGCCACCAUGGUGAAAACAGACUAACCCUCGGAAACUGUAAACAAGCCCCCCUUUUUUGUUUUUGUUUUUUUAAGUAAGUGUUGACUUGUUCAUGGUCUCUCUUCAGAGCAAUAGAACAGUGCCCCACCUACUUCACAACAAGGCCACCCCUCCCAAUAGUGCCACCACUUUGGGGGCCAUUUUCAUGCAAACCACCAGAGGGCCCUACACAGUGUUCACCUUCCUUAGUUCCUGGCAUCUCAGCAAGAAGAAAGAAGGCAAAUGUCCUCCAUUUUUCCGGCUCUAGUCUUCAGAUAAAUAGGGAUAUGUCAGAGAAUGCACCAGGCAGCAUUCAUCUCAAUCAACAGACGAUGGAUCAUCUUGGUGAUAUCCCUGGCUAACCUCUAGAGAUAGGCACUCGGUAAUUUGCCACUCGGCAGUUGAAAGUACUUGUUGCUCUUACAAGGGAUGCAGGUUCAGUCCCCCCAAACCCACAUGGCAGCUCACAAACAUCUGUAACUCCACUCCCAGGGGAUGACAUCCUCUGGCCCCGGUGGACACUAAGCAUGUGUGUAGUGCGCAGCUAUACAUCAGGCAAAACAUUUACACACAUCAAACACAUUAUAGAAAGCCUGGCUUGUCUGGACAUCUCUCUGCACCAGGUCCCCUGAGGGGAUAUUUUAAAAAGAGUUACCCUCCUGUCUGGCGGUCAGGCCUGUACUACACUGUGGGUCCUGAUGGGGGAAGUCCUAUGUAUAUGUCAAUAAAACACUGUUGGGCCAAUAGGGAACCAAGACAGGUGGGACUAGGAAUCCAGGAGAACUCUGGGAAGGAGAAACACAGAGAGUCAAGA